GCGCCUUCGGUGUCCGAGUUGUAAUUUGAAGAAGGUAACUUUGGUUUUGGCUCUUGUCUAUGUUCCUUGGAACAGGACGUCACAGAGGGUGAGAAUCCCGUGCGAUGAGAUGCCCAAUUCCAUGUAAAGUGCUUUCGAAGAGUCGAGUUGUUUGGGAAUGCAGCUCUAAGUGGGUGGUAAAUUCCAUCUAAAGCUAAAUAUUGGCGAGAGACCGAUAGCGAACAAGUACAGUGAUGGAAAGAUGAAAAGAACUUUGAAAAGAGAGUGAAAAAGUACGUGAAAUUGUUGAAAGGGAAGGGUUUGAGAUCAGACUUGGUAUUUUGUAUGUUUUACUCUCGGGUGAGGCCUCUGCAGUUUACUGGGCCAGCAUCAGUUUGGAUGGUAGGAUAAUGACAUUGGAAUGUGGCUCUUCGGAGUGUUAUAGCCCUUGUUGAUACUGCCUAUCU
rnacentral:rRNA from 2 species